UGGGGAAUAUUGCACAAUGGGCGCAAGCCUGAUGCAGCCAUGCCGCGUGUGUGAAGAAGGCCUUCGGGUUGUAAAGCACUUUCAGCGGGGAGGAAGGCGAUAAGGUUAAUAACCUUGUCGAUUGACGUUACCCGCAGAAGAAGCACCGGCUACCUCCGUGCCAGCAGCCGCGGUAAUACGGAGGGUGCAAGCGUUAAUCGGAAUUACUGGGCGUAAAGCGCACGCAGGCGGUCUGUCAAGAAGGAUGUGAAAUACCCGGGCUCAACCUGGGAACUGCAUUCGAAACUGGCAGGAUAGAGGCUUGUAGAGGGGGGUAGAAGUCCGGGUGUAGCGGUGAAAUGCGUAGAGAUCUGGGGGAAUACCGGUGGCGAAGGAGGCCCCCUGGACAAAGACUGACGCUCAGGUGCGAAAGCGUGGGGAGCAAACAGG
rnacentral:rRNA from 1 species